UUCCAAAGGGCAUGCCUGUUCGAGCGUCAUUUGUACCCUCAAGCUUUGCUUGGUGUUGGGCGUCUUGUCUUUUGGCUCUUUGCCCAAAGACUCGCCUUAAAACGAUUGGCAGCCGGCCUACUGGUUUCGCAGCGCAGCACAUUUUUGCGCUUGCAAUCAGCAAAAGAGGACGGCACUCCAUCAAGACUCCUUCUCACGUUUGACCUCGGAUCAG
rnacentral:misc_RNA from 1 species